GACGAACGCUGGCGGCGUGCCUAACACAUGCAAGUCGAACGAGUGGCGAACGGGUGAGUAAUACGUGGGUAACCUGCCCUCCUUCUGGGAUAAGCCUUGGAAACGGGGUCUACUACCGAAUAAAGGGGGAUGGGCGCGCGGCCUAUCAGCUUGUUGUGGGGGUGAUGGCCUACCAAGGCGGUGACGGGUAGCCGGCCGGAGAGGGUGCCUGGCCACAUUGGUACUGCGAUACGGCCAAGAGACCUAGGAGGGGCAGCGGUGGGGUAUAUUGCGCAAUGGGGGAAGACCUGUUGCGGCGGCGCCGCGAGGGGGGUGGGGGCUUACGGGUUGUACGCCUCUUUCGCAAUCGAAGGUAAGGUGGAGAAGAGGCGCCGGCAAAUUACGUGCCAGCGGCGGCGGUAUUC
rnacentral:rRNA from 1 species